rnacentral:rRNA from 1 species
UGGGGAAUUUUGGACAAUGGGCGAAAGCCUGAUCCAGCAAUGCCGCGUGUGUGAAGAAGGCCUUCGGGUUGUAAAGCACUUUUGUCCGGAAAGAAAUCCUUGGCUCUAAUACAGUCGGGGGAUGACGGUACCGGAAGAAUAAGCACCGGCUAACUACGUGCCAGCAGCCGCGGUAAUACGUAGGGUGCAAGCGUUAAUCGGAAUUACUGGGCGUAAAGCGUGCGCAGGCGGUUUGCUAAGACCGAUGUGAAAUCCCCGGGCUCAACCUGGGAACUGCAUUGGUGACUGGCAGGCUAGAGUAUGGCAGAGGGGGGUAGAAUUCCACGUGUAGCAGUGAAAUGCGUAGAGAUGUGGAGGAAUACCGAUGGCGAAGGCAGCCCCCUGGGCCAAUACUGACGCUCAUGCACGAAAGCGUGGGGAGCGAACAGGAUUAGAUACCCUGGUAGUCCACGCCCUAAACGAUGUCAACUAGUUGUUGGGGAUUCAUUUCCUAGUAACGUAGCUAACGCGUGAAGUUGACCGCCUGGGGAGUACGGUCGCAAGAUU